rnacentral:rRNA from 1 species
AACGAACGCUGGCGGCAUGCCUAACACAUGCAAGUCGAACGAGACCUUCGGGUCUAGUGGCGCACGGGUGCGUAACGCGUGGGAACCUGCCCUUAGGUUCGGAAUAACUCCCCGAAAGGGGUGCUAAUACCGGAUAAUGUCUUCGGACCAAAGAUUUAUCGCGUUUGGAUGGGCCCGCGUUGGAUUAGCUAGUUGGUAGGGUAAAAGCCUACCAAGGCGACGAUCCAUAGCUGGUCUGAGAGGAUGAUCAGCCACACUGGGACUGAGACACGGCCCAGACUCCUACGGGAGGCAGCAGUGGGGAAUAUUGGACAAUGGGCGAAAGCCUGAUCCAGCAAUGCCGCGUGAGUGAUGAAGGCCUUAAGGUUGUAAAGCUCUUUUACCCGGGAUGAUAAUGACAGUACCGGGAGAAUAAGCUCCGGCUAACUCCGUG